UACGUAGGGUGCGAGCGUUAAUCGGAAUUACUGGGCGUAAAGCGUGCGCAGGCGGUUUUGUAAGCCAGAUGUGAAAGCCCCGGGCUCAACCUGGGAAUGGCAUUUGGGACUGCAAGGCUUGAGUGCGGCAGAGGAGACUGGAAUUCCUGGUGCAGCAGGUGAAAUGCGUAGAUAUCAGGAGGAAUACCGAUGGCGAAGGCAGGUCUCUGGGCUGACACUGACGCUCAUGCACGAAAGCGUGGGGAGCAAACAGGAUUAGAAACC
rnacentral:rRNA from 1 species